UUUAGUUUAACAUAUCCUCCCUUAUGAGCUGGUAUUUGUUAGCAGUGAUGGAAUAAGUACUGAGAGUGAAAAAAACCUGAGGCACAGAGCAAGAGUUGAACCUGGAUGGGCUGCCUCCAGAGUUUGUACUGCCUCUUUUCCCUUGGCUGAAAGUUCAAGAAACCCACAUGGAAAUUAUGUGGUUACCUCUAGAGAUUCAGUUGGAGCUUUGGCAGAAUUGGAUGUUUUAUUUCUUAACAAAGAUUUUUAAAGCAAAUGUUUAAAAUCAGCAGUUGGUACUGCUUCAUGA